rnacentral:misc_RNA from 1 species
UAUGAAGAACGUAGCGAAAUGCGAUACGUAAUGUGAAUUGCAGAAUUCAGUGAAUCAUCGAAUCUUUGAACGCAUAUUGCGCUCUCUGGUAUUCCGGAGAGCAUGCUUGUUUGAGUAUCAGUAAACACCUCAACUUCCAUAUCUUUUUUGAAAUGGGAGUUGGACUUGAGUGAUCCCAACGCUUUUCCUCACCGAAAAGUGGCGGGUUACUUGAAAUGCAGGUGCAGCUGGACUUUUCUCUGAGCUAUAAGCAUAUCUAUUUAGUCUGCCUAAAAACAGAUUAUUACCUUUGCUGCAGCUAACAUAAAGGAGAUUAGUUCUUGUGCUGACUGAUGCAGGAUUCACAAAGACAGGCUUCGGCCGACUUUGUAAACUCGAUCUCAAAUCAAGUAAGACUACCCGCUGAACUUAAGCAUAUCAAUAAGCGGAGGA